rnacentral:tRNA from 1 species
GGGCGAGUGGUGUAAUGGCAGCCACGCCAGCCUUAGGAGCUGGUGCCGCAAGGCGUAGGAGUUCAAGUCUCCUCUCGCCCA